CCAGAGGCGCGGGCCCCGCCCACUCGCCCGGGGCCUUCGCUUCUUGACCUCAAGCCACGCCCCCAGGGGAGAGACUCGAGGAGAUUCACCUUCUGGGAUAGGCUCUACUUCAACAAAGCCCUCCCUCAACUAUACUCUGAUUGGUCAGAAAAUGCUGUAGCUUGUUACUCACGCCAAACGCCCUCUUGAAUGAGUUUCAAAGGAUGUUUCCACUGACCAAUCGAGAGACCGCUCUCUCCGGACUCACUAACCAUUGGAUAACAGGAACGUCGCAAUCGUCCAAUGGUCCUGCGACCACUUCGUCGGGAGCGGAGAUGCUGUGUGAAAUAAAUCAAGUCCAGGCUGCAGCAGAAGACACUGUCCAUGGCACUAAGCAGCACCAGCUUGCUGUCAUCAGCAGCUGCAGUGCCUAGGGCACGCUGCACUUCCUUCAUCACCUCUGGAUUUAGACUUAUUCUCUGAGGAUUUGGUUGAUCGCAAGAUGUGGGUGAAGUCAUCCUGCUUGCUUCCUGACAGCAACAUCUCUAUUAUCGAUAGGAACUUUCUGUUUGCCUCACACUGAAAUGCAACUGCCUGUCAAAAGGCUUUUUCUUCUGUCAAUAAACUUCCUCUUCCUGCUGUCA